CAAUAUCGCCAAAUUGAAAACAAGGGUGAUCACUAUCAAGGAUUACGAAGGGUUCAUUAGGACAUCUAGGUUGGCUACUACUUUCAACUUGUUUAUCUUUUUUAGGUCGGGAAGCCGGGGGAGGGGGAGUUUUUUGGACACUACUUUCACCGGUUUUACCUUUUCCUUUACCGAACAUAUUUUUCAACGAAAAUGCCAUAAAAUGCAAAUAUCUAGCCUUAUCUCUAGGGUGUAAUUUUAUAUGCUUAACUAACUACUCGUGCCGCUACGAUCUCCAGUAUACCUAUGAACAACUAAUUUCCCACAAGAUUUACACUUAGCCUUAUUUUGUUCUCUUAGUUGAAUAAAAAAUUGCCAAA
rnacentral:lncRNA from 1 species